rnacentral:rRNA from 1 species
CACGUAGGGUGCGAGCGUUUGUCCGGAAUUAUUGGGCGUAAAGAGCUCGUAGGCGGUGUGUCGCGUCGGCCGUGAAAACCUGCAGCUUAACUGUGGGCUUGCGGUCGAUACGGGCAUCACUGGAGUUCGGCAGGGGAGACUGGAAUUCCUGGUGUAGCGGUGAAAUGCGCAGAUAUCAGGAGGAACACCGGUGGCGAAGGCGCCACUCUGGGCCGGUACUGACGCUGAGGAGCGAAAGCGUGGGGAGCAAACAGG